rnacentral:rRNA from 1 species
UACGUAGGGGGCUAGCGUUGUCCGGAAUCAUUGGGCGUAAAGAGCGUGUAGGCGGCCCGGUAAGUCCGCUGUAAAAGUCAAAGGCUCAACCUUUGAAUGUCAGUGGAUACUGCCGGGCUAGAGUCCGGAAGAGGCGAGUGGAACUCCUGGUGUAGCGGUGGAAUGCGCAGAUAUCAGGAAGAACACCAACGGCGAAGGCAGCUCGCUGGGACGUUACUGACGCUAAGGCGCGAAAGCGUGGGGAGCGAACAGG